GGUUAAGCGAUAUAAGCGUACACGGUGAAUGCCUGGCAGUCAGAGGCGAUGAAGAAGGGCGUGCUAAUCUGCGAUAAGCGCCGACCAGGUGAUAUGAACCGUUAUAACCGGCGAUACCCCGAAAUGGGGAAGCAGUGUGAUUCGUCACACUAUCAUUAACUGAAUCCAUAGGUUGAAAUAUGAGCGGAGCCGGGGAACUGAAACAUCUAAGUACCCCGAGGAAGAAAUCAACAGAGAUUCCCCAGUAGCGGCGAGCGAACGGGGAGGAGCCCAGAGCUGAAUCAGCAUGUGUGUUAGUGGAAGCGUCUGGAAAGGCGCGCGAUACGGAAGUGACAGCCCCGUACACAAAAGCACAUGUGCUGUGAGAGCUCGAUAGUAGGGCGGGACACGCGUGGUAUCCUGUCUGAAUAUGGGACCAUCCUCAGGCUAAAUACUCCUGACUGACCACGAUAGUGAACCGGUACCGUGAGGGAAAGAGGCAGAAAGAACCCGGCGAGGGGUGAAAAAGAACCUGAAACCGUGUGCAUUACAAGCAGUGGGGCCCACCACUAAGCCAGUGGUGAACUCCGCAUACGCAUCCUUUGCGCAGAGGAUACGGUUAACGGGCGAAAGCGACGUUCAACCUCAAAAACAGAGGGGCUUAGUGGUGGGGUGACUGCGUACCUUUUAAUAUAAUGGGUCAGCGACUUAUAUUCUGUAACAAGGUUAAAACCGUAUAGGGGCGGAAACCGAGUCGCCACAACCGGGCGUUAAGUUGCAGAAUUACGCCCCGAGGCCAACCCGGUGAUCACAAUAUGGGCAGGUUGAAGGUUGGUAACACUAACUGGAGGACCGAACCGACUAAUGUUGAAAAAGUCAGCGGAUGACCUGUGGCUGGGGUGAAAGGCCAAUCAAACCCGGAGAUAACUGUGGUUCUCCCCGAAAGCUAUUUAGGUAGCGCCUCAGAAGCGAUUGCAUCUCCGGGGGUAGAGCACUGUUUUCGCGGCUGGGGGCCAUCCCGGCACACCAGCCCGUGCAAACUGCAGGAAUGCGAGGAGAGGUAGUAUCACGGGAGACACACGGCGAAGGUGCUAACGUCCGUCGUGAAAAGAGGGCUAACUAGACCGCCAGCUAAGGUCCCAAAGUCAUGGUUGAAGUGGGAAACGAUGUGGGAAGAGGCUGAACAGCGGGAUGUUGGCAAGCAGCCAUCAUUUAAAAAGAAAGCGUAAUAGCUCACUGGUCGAGUCGGCUGCGCCGGAAGAUGUAACGGGGCUAAAACGCGCACCAAAGCUGCGGCAGGCAAUAUCGCAAAAGCGAUUCAGCGGAUGACGAUUGACGGAGCGAAGCGACGUCAGCAUAUAAAGUCGGGGCGCGUCGGUUUAAGGAUACGUUCGUUAGUGAGCGUUCUGUAAGCCUGCGAAGGUGGCCUGUGAGGUUGCUGGAGGUAUCAGAAGUGCGAAUGCUGACAUAAGUAACGAUAAAGCGGGUGAAAAGCCCGCUCGCCGGAAAAACCAAGGGUUCACGUAACGUUAAUCGGGGCAGGGUGAGUCGACCUAAGGCACGGGCCGAAAGGCGUAGUCGAUGGGGAACGUUUAACAUUCCCGUACUUGGUGUUACUGCGAAGGGGGACGGAGAGCUAUGUUGGCGGGCGACGGAUUUGUCCAGUUUGCAGCGUGUGGGUGUGUGUUCGAGGUAGGUACGUUUCGCACAACACUGAGGCGUGACGACGAGGCACUUUACGGUGCUGAAGCACGAAAUACUUUUCGCUGCGAGGAAAACCUCUAAGCAUCAGGUAACAUCAAUCGUACCCCCGAAGGCAGAGCACAGGUGGUCGGAGAGCACGAAAGAGAAUACCAAGGCGCGAGAGAACUCAGGUGAAGGAACUAGGCAAGGAAAUGGUGCGCGCUUCGGGAAGACGCACGCUGACAUACGCUGGGUGAAGUGAUUUACUCAUGGAGCUGAAGUCAGUCCGAAGAUACCAACUGGCAGCUGUUUAGUAAAAAGCACAGCUUUGUGCAAACACACGGAGUGGACGUAUACGGUGUGACGCCACGGUGCCGGAAGGUUAAUUGAUGCGGUCAGCGCGAGAGCGAAGCUCUGAUCGAAGCGGUAAACGGCGGCCGUAACUAUAACGGUCUAAGGUAGCGAAAUUCCUUGUCGGGUAAGUUCCGACCUGCACGAAUGGCGUAUUGAUGGCCGGGGCUGUCUCCACCCGAGACUCAGUGGUAGGGCACCGCUGUGAAGAUGCGGUAGCCUUACGGCAAGACGGAAGACGUGAACCUUUACUUUAUAGCUUGACACUGAACAUUGAGCCUUAGUGUGUGGGAGAUAGGUGGGAGGCUUUUGAAGUGUGGACGCCAGUCUGCAUGGAGCCGACAAAUACCACCCGCUUUAAUGUUUGAUGUUCUAACGUGGACCCGUAAUCGGGUUGCGGACAGUGUCUGGUGGAGUAGUUUUGACUGGAGACACGGUCUCCUCCUAAAAAGAGUAACGGAGAACUGAGAAGUUUACAAUCACGGUCGGACAUCAGGAGGUUAGUGCAAUGGCAUAAGCCAAAAGCUUGACUGCGAGCGUGACGGCGCGAGCAGGUACGCACAGGUCAUAGUGAUCCGGUGGUUCUGAAUGGAAGGGCCAUCGCUCAACGGAUAAAAAAGGUACUCAGGGAUAACAGUGAUACCGCCCAAGAGUUCAUAUAUCGACGGCGGUGUUUUGGCACUGAUAAAUACAAUACAUCCUGGGGCUGAAGUAGGUCCCAAGGGUAUGGCUGUUCCGCCAUUUAAAGUGGUACGCGAAGCUGGGUUUUACAGAACGUCGUGAACGAAGUUCGGUCCCUAUCUGCCGUGGGCGCUGGAGAAACUGAGGGCUGCUCUAGUACGAGAGAGGACCGGAGUGGUUGCAUCACUGGUGUUCGGGUUGUCAUGCCAAUGGCACUGCCCGGUAGCUAAAUGCGGAAGAAUAAGUGCUGAAAGCAUCUAAGCACGAAACUUGCCCCGAGAUGAGUUCUCCUGAGACUUAGAGUCUCCUGAAGGAACACGUUGAAGACGACGACGUUGAUAGGCCGGGUGUGUAGCGCAGCGUGCGUUGAAACUAACCGGUACUAAUGAACCGUGAGGCUUAACAUA
rnacentral:rRNA from 1 species